rnacentral:RNase_P_RNA from 1 species
AGAGCAGGGCAAAUGGCUGCUGUUCUAUGUUUUACAUAGAAGGGAGGAAAGUCCGGGCUCCACAGGGCAGGGUGCUGGGUAACACCCAGUCCCGGUGACGGGAAGGAAAGUGCCACAGAAAAUAUACCGCCUUAUCAGAGGCUGGUCUAUCUGAUUGGGUAAGGGUGAAAAGGCGAGGUAAGAGCUCACCGCUCCGUUGGUGACAUCGGAGGCUUGGCAAACCCCACCCGGAGCAAGACCAAAUAGGGGGACGUUUGAGGGUGGUCCGUCCGAGUCCCCGGGUAGGUCGCUUGAUCCCGAUAGCAAUAUUGGGGCUAGAUGAAUGGCCAUUGUUCCGUAGAGGGUGACUGAUACGGGAAACAGAACCCGGCUUAUGACCUGCUCUCACA